GCUAACGCGUUAAGUCGACCGCCUGGGGAGUACGGCCGCAAGGUUAAAACUCAAAUGAAUUGACGGGGGCCCGCACAAGCGGUGGAGCAUGUGGUUUAAUUCGAUGCAACGCGAAGAACCUUACCUGGUCUUGACAUCCACGGAAGUUUUCAGAGAUGAGAAUGUGCCUUCGGGAACCGUGAGACAGGUGCUGCAUGGCUGUCGUCAGCUCGUGUUGUGAAAUGUUGGGUUAAGUCCCGCAACGAGCGCAACCCUUAUCCUUUGUUGCCAGCGGUCCGGCCGGGAACUCAAAGGAGACUGCCAGUGAUAAACUGGAGGAAGGUGGGGAUGACGUCAAGUCAUCAUGGCCCUUACGACCAGGGCUACACACGUGCUACAAUGGCGCAUACAAAGAGAAGCGACCUCGCGAGAGCAAGCGGACCUCAUAAAGUGCGUCGUAGUCCGGAUUGGAGUCUGCAACUCGACUCCAUGAAGUCGGAAUCGCUAGUAAUCGUGGAUCAGAAUGCCACGGUGAAUACGUUCCCGGGCCUUGUACACACCGCCCGUCACACCAUGGGAGUGGGUUGCAAAAGAAGUAGGUAGCUUAACCUUCGGGAGGGCGCUUACCACUUUGUGAUUCAUGACUGGGGUGAAGUCGUAACAAGGUAACCGUAGGGGAACCUGCGGUUGGAUCAC
rnacentral:rRNA from 1 species